rnacentral:misc_RNA from 1 species
UACAGAGGUCCCAAGCGUUGUUCGGAUUCACUGGGCGUAAAGGGUGCGUAGGUGGCGAGGAAAGUUCGAUGUGAGAUCUCCGGGCUCAACCCGGAAAUGGCACUGAAAACUAUCUCGCUAGAGGGUCGGAAGGGAGACUGGAAUUCUCGGUGUAGCAGUGAAAUGCGUAGAUAUCGAGAGGAACACCAGUGGCGAAGGCGGGUCUCUGGACGACACCUGACACUGAGGCUCGAAAGCGUGGGGAGCAAACAGG